AUUGAACGCUGGCGGCAGGCCUAACACUUGCAAGUCGAACGAGUGGCGGACGGGUGCGUAAUGUCUGGGAAACUGCCUGAUGGAGGGGGCUAACUACUGGAAACGGUAGCUAAUACCGCAUACCAUCAGAUGUGCCCAGAUGGGAUUAGCUGGUUGGUGGGGUAACGGCUCACCAAGGCCACGAUCACUAGCUGGUCUGAGAGGAUGACCAGCCACACUGGAACUGAGACACGGUCCAGACUCCUACGGGAGGCAGCAGUGGAGAAUAUUGCACAAUGGGCGCAAGCCUGAUGCAGCCAGGCCGCGUGUAUGAAGAAGGCCUGCGGGUUGUAAAGUACUUUCAGCGGGGAGGCGUUACCCGCAGAAGAAGCACCGGCUAACUCCGUGCCAGCAGCCGCGGGAAC
rnacentral:rRNA from 1 species